rnacentral:RNase_P_RNA from 2 species
AGGAGACCGCGGACGGCCGACGGUGCCCCUCGUGGGUGCUGAGGAACGUCCCCCCUCCCUAGAGAAGGUGGCCCCGCGCAAGCGGGGGGCCUGAGAGGGCCGGCAAGGGCGCAGAAACGACACAGCUCGCGUCGAGGAUGAUUCGCCAGGCGAUGACGUUGGCGCGGGAUCUGGUGAGACGGCGACACCCCACCGGAGCAAGUCCAAGCAGGCGCGUGUGCGCCAGGUAGGACGCUCAGUCCAAUGCCGUCAGAACAGAAGGGGGCGUACGGCGGUCACCU